rnacentral:tRNA from 2 species
UCCCGAGUAGCUCAACCGGCAGAGCGGGUGGCUGUUAACCACUAGGUCGUAGGUUCAAAUCCUACCUCGGGAGCCA